GAUGAACGCUGGCGGCGUGCCUAAUACAUGCAAGUCGAGCGAACGGACGAGAAGCUUGCUUCUCUGAUGUUAGCAGCGGACGGGUGAGUAACACGUGGAUAACCUACCUAUAAGACUGGGAUAACUUCGGGAAACCGUAGCUAAUACCGGAUAAUAUUUUGAACCGCAUGGUUCAAAAGUGAAAGACGGUCUUGCUGUCACUUAUAGAUGGAUCCGCGCUGCAUUAGCUAGUUGGUAAGGUAACGGCUUACCAAGGCAACGAUGCAUAGCCGACCUGAGAGGGUGAUCGGCCACACUGGCACUGAGACACGGUCCAGACUCCUACGGGAGGCAGCAGUAGGGAAUCUUCCGCAAUGGGCGAAAGCCUGACGGAGCAACGCCGCGUGAGUGAUGAAGGUCUUCGGAUCGUAAAACUCUGUUAUUAGGGAAGAACAUAUGUGUAAGUAACUGUGCACAUCUUGACGGUACCUAAUCAGAAAGCCACGGCUAACUACGUG
rnacentral:rRNA from 1 species